rnacentral:tRNA from 1 species
GCCUUGAUGGUGAAAUGGUAGACACGCGAGACUCAAAAUCUCGUGCUGAAGAACGUGGAGGUUCGAGUCCUCUUCAAGGCA